rnacentral:rRNA from 1 species
AGAGUGAACGCUGGCGGUAGGCCUAACACAUGCAAGUCGAACGGCAGCACGGUAAGAGCUUGCUCUUAUGGGUGGCGAGUGGCGGACGGGUGAGGAAUACAUCGGAAUCUACCUUUUGGUGGGGGAUAACGUAGGGAAACUUACGCUAAUACCGCAUACGCCCUUCGGGGGAAAGCCGGGGACCAGCAAUGGCCUGGCGCUGAUAGAUGAGCCGAUGUCGGAUUAGCUAGUUGGUGAGGUAAUGGCUCACCAAGGCGACGAUCCGUAGCUGGUCUGAGAGGAUGAUCAGCCACACUGGAACUGAGACGACGGUCCAAG